GACGAACGCUGGCGGCGUGCUUAACACAUGCAAGUCGAACGGUAAGGCCCUUCGGGGUACACGAGUGGCGAACGGGUGAGUAACACGUGGGUGAUCUGCCCUGCACUUCGGGAUAAGCCUGGGAAACUGGGUCUAAUACCGGAUAGGACUCCGGACUGCAUGGUCUGGGGUGGAAAGCUUUUGCGGUGUGGGAUGGGCCCGCGGCCUAUCAGCUUGUUGGUGGGGUGAUGGCCUACCAAGGCGACGACGGGUAGCCGGCCGGAGAGGGUGACCGGCCACACUGGGACUGAGAUACGGCCCAGACUCCUACGGGAGGCAGCAGUGGGGAAUAUUGCACAAUGGGCGCAAGCCUGAGGCAGCGACGCCGCGUGAGGGAUGACGGCCUUCGGGUUGUAAACCUCUUUCAGCAUCGACGAAGCGAAAGUGACGGUAGGUGCAGAAGAAGGACCGGCCAACUACGUGCCAGCCGCCGCAGAA
rnacentral:rRNA from 1 species